GCCAAGACAGUGUCACAAGGAAAUAUUGUCUGGGAAUUCCAGUUGCAAUCUCUCUAAUGCUCACUAAUAUGUGCACAUUUCAGAAGGCAAAGCUUUAAUACUUGUGCAGAUCUACUGCAUCAAAUAAUUCCCCAGAAAGCCAUACAGCCCCAAAAUGGUAGGAUUAACCUUGAGGGAUCCCCUUGCCAUUUCAUUGUCUCCAUACAUGCAUUCCCUGGUAUGGGUCAUCUUAUUAGCUGCAUUGAUCCACCUAAUCAUCUCCCAAUCUUUCCUUGAGAAGGACUGUAUGAGAACAAAGACUCUAGAAUGACCAAAUGUGGGUUAUUGUUUUAUCCCCACACCCACAAAGUUUUACCCCAUGCCUAUCCACCCCUACUUACCUUACAAUAAGUUUCAUUAUCUUUUGAUCUGAUCCAGUUUACUAAUGGUUUGUAGUAAACCAUUUACUUAAAUGUGUAAUUAUAUUUUUUGUAAUUAAUUAAUUAGACACAUCUAAUAC